ACAGCAGUCGCCGCGGUAAUACGUAGGUGGCAAGCGUUGUCCGGAAUUAUUGGGCGUAAAGGGCUCGCAGGCGGUUUCUUAAGCCUGAUGUGAAAGCCCCCGGCUCAACCGGGGAGGGUCAUUGGAAACUGGGAAACUUGAGUGCAGAAGAGGAGAGUGGAAUUCCACGUGUAGCGGUGAAAUGCGUAGAGAUGUGGAGGAACACCAGUGGCGAAGGCGACUCUCUGGUCUGUAACUGACGCUGAGGAGCGAAAGCGUGGGGAGCGAACAGGAUUAGAUACCCCGGUAGUCCCUGUCUCUUAUAC
rnacentral:rRNA from 1 species